UACGUAGGUGGCGAGCGUUGUCCGGAUUUACUGGGCGUAAAGAGCGCGCAGGCGGUCGUCCAAGUCGCGUGUGAAAGCCUCCAGCUCAACUGGAGAAGUGCCUUGGAUACCGGCGGCCUCGAGGGAGGUAGGGGCGUGCGGAACUUCGGGUGGAGCGGUGAAAUGCGUAGAUAUCCGAAGGAACACCGGUGGCGAAAGCGGCGCGCUGGAUCUCUUCUGACGCUGAGGCGCGAAAGCCAGGGGAGCAAAGCGGG
rnacentral:rRNA from 1 species